rnacentral:tRNA from 1 species
UAUCUAUAUAGUAUAUAAGUAUAUUUGACUUCCAAUCAUAAGGCCUACUAAUUAGUAGUAUAGAUAA